AUUGAACGCUGGCGGCAGGCCUAACACAUGCAAGUCGAACGAGUGGCGGACGGGUGAGUAAUGUCUGGGAAACUGCCUGAUGGAGGGGGAACACUACUGGCAACGGUCGCUAAUACCGCAUACCAUCGGAUGUGCCCAGCUGGGAUUAGCUAGUGGGUGGGGUAAUGGCUCACCUAGGCGACGACCCCUCGCUGGUCCGAGAGGAGGACCAGCCAAACUGGAACUGAAACACGGUCCAAACUCCUACGGAAGGCAGCAGUGGGGAAUAUUGCACAAGGGGCGGAAGCUGGAUGCAGCCAUGCGGCGGGGAUGAAGAAGGCCUUCGGGUGGUAAAGUACUUUCAGCGGGGAGGCGUUACCCGCAGAAGAAGCACCGGCUAACUCCGUGCCAGCAGCCGCGGUAAUUC
rnacentral:rRNA from 1 species